GUGUUGUAGAAUAGGAGGGUCCUGGCAACCUGAGGCAGAGCUGGUGUUACAGAGUACCUGCCUACUGCUAUAAAGUUUUACUUUAUACGAAUUCUGGAGAAGCUGAGUGAGGCCAUGUCUGUUACCAGGAGACAUGAGACUCACAGCAGAUCUCUCUGGCUUAACAUGGGAGAUGGCGACUUUAUAAAGUGCUCCAGUUCUUAUGGUGUUUUCUGACCAGGAUCUGUACCAAGCAGAUGAACGUGCCAAGAUGUCUUCGUUCUCCCUGGCUGCACAUCCUCCUGUAGUCUUCAUGCCGGCCUUCGUUUGACCUGUUUUUGGGAAGUUCUGCCUUUUCCUUCUAUUUUAAUCUACACUCUGUUGCCACCAUUACAUAUCCAUGCAUGUAGAGUUGAUGGUAGUAUACUAAAACUUUUUAGAAGAGAAGAUAUGAAAACCCAAAUGGAGUGAAU
rnacentral:lncRNA from 1 species